rnacentral:lncRNA from 1 species
GCCGGUAGAGCAUCGCAGGCUUUAAACACAUACCCUUUACCAUUUCUGGCAAAGGUCCAGACAAUCCCACAAACACCAGAGUACAAGAGGGCAGUUUUAACAAUAAUUAGCAUAUAUCGGAAGCACACGCGGAACAACAAAACGUACAUGUGCCUUUUCGAGACAAUACGAUGCAAGGAACAAAUCUCUCACAAAUGUAUUCAAAUUUGGAAUGAAAUGAAAGCAAGAGUAUACAGGG